AGAUUUUUCCAUAAAAAAACAUCCUAUCAGGUUUUCUCGACUAAUAUUUGACAGUUUUGUGGUGUUAAUUGGUUUAUAAGCUUGUAUUGUAAUCUGCAUAUUUAUUUAUUACACAUUGAGCAUUAGUAUGGCUUAAGAAAUCUGUAUAAUGUUGAAAGCCCCUUUAGACUCAAAGUUUUCAUUAUUUCAUCUGACACAAUUGAAAAUAUAAAAUUUUGUACCUAUUAAUUUAUCGAAAAUAUGGACAUACAGUGUUAUACUACCUCUCUGACGGUGCAUGUGACACGUACUGCCUAAUCUACUGUUAAUAAACUGGAGAAAUGCAGCUAAAAUGUGUGACUAAUAUGAUAUAUGAUAUGACUUGCAGGAAGAAGAUUUGACAACCAUUCAUGGUCACCGUGACAGCCCUUUAAAUUCUUCAGGAAAUGGACCAGAGCUCUUCUGACCCUACAGUGAUCCUUGAACUAAGUUCCGUCCCUGAAAAGGACAUAAGUGUUCCUGAACUCAAGAGAGCAGAAAGUGUAUUUGUUCAUCAAAAAUGGCGAGAAAGAAGUGGAGCACAGAGGAGGUCCAGGCUGUGGAGAGCAAUCUCAUGGACAACAUCAACUCUGGCAGGGUUCCUGGUAAAGCCCAGUGUGAAGCAUCUAUCAAGGAAUCCUCAGAGGUGCUUAGGGGAAGGAGCUGGCAGGCAGUUAAGUUCUAUGUGAAGAACCGCAUUGACACUUUAAAGCGUCUAGAAAAUAACUAAUGGAAAUCUAAAUUAUAAUCACUGAACAUAAUUCUUUUUUGCCAUCUAAGUUCUUCUACAAUCCCACAACUAGGUACAGCGCUAACUUCAAUUCAGCUCAUAUCUGAGCAUGCAAAGACAUUUUGUUAAGAUUGUUAUAGCUCUUAUGUUUUCAAAUUUAAUAUGUCUACAUGCUCUGACUAUUAUUUCAUUGAGUGAUGUCAUUUAAAUUUUUAUCCUAAAGAACAUUGUGGUAGUCGGUCAUGGGUGGUUGGAGAAAUGGAGGUAGAGAGAGACACAGGUUGUAGAGAGAGUGAAAGGUUUGUAGAGAGACAGGUUUGCAGGGAGAGAGAGACAGGUAUGUAUGUAGAGAUAGACAGGUAUGUAGGAAAUGAGAGAGACAGGUAUGUAGGUAGAGAGAGACAGGUAUGUAGAGAGGGACAGGUAUGUAGAAAGGAGAGAGACAGGUAUGUAGAGAGACCGGUAUGUAGAUUAGAGAGUGAGACAGGUAUGUAGAUUAGAUAGUGAGGUAUAUUAGAGAGAGAGACUAUGUAGGGAGAGAUAGAUGGGUGUGUAGAAAGAGAAAGUGUUCCUGAACAUUUUUUAAAAUAAGAAACAGAGGUAACGAGAGAGAAACACGUACAGAGAGAGAGACAGGUUUGUAGAGGGAAAUCGAGGUCGGCAGAGACAGACAGGUUUGUAGGAAGUAAGAGAAAGAGGUGAAGGAGAAGGAAUGAUCAUAGCAAAGAGCCAGGACAAAUUAAUUUGUAUAUGGAUGAGUUGUGAUAAUAAAGUUAAUCUGCAAUGUAAA